AUGCCGGAAACAGACUCAAUACAUUGAUGAUGGCAGUUCCUCGGAUGUGCCCUUCCGGAACAUGACCAGCAUUGAGGUGCUUUUUCUCUGCGAGGUCUUGGUGAGACAAGCUUGUCCUCUUCAACUCUGAUUGGAAAGUCACUGCAAGCUGGUUAUGAUAGCAACGUGAUGGAAUUGAUUGUCGCUUAGCCACCGAAGACCGAAGACAGUUCAAUAUAUUACAAAUACAC